UACGUAGGGGGCGAGCGUUGUCCGAAGUUACUGGGCGUAAAGCGCGCGUAGGCGGACUCUUAAGUGAGGGGUGAAAGGUUCAGGGCUCAACCCGAACACUGCCUUUCAUACUGGGGGUCUUGAGUGCGGGAGAGGCGAGUGGAAUGGUCGGUGUAGCGGUGAAAUGCGUAGAUAUCGAUCGGAACACCCAUGGCGAAGGCAGCUCGCUGGCCUGCAACUGACGCUGAGGUGCGAAAGCGUGGGGAGCAAACAGG
rnacentral:rRNA from 1 species